rnacentral:rRNA from 1 species
UACGUAGGGGGCAAGCGUUGUCCGGAUUUAUUGGGCGUAAAGGGCUCGUAGGCGGUUUGUCGCGUCGGGAGUGAAAAACUUGGGCUUAACUCAGGGCUUGCUUUCGAUACGGGCAGACUAGAGGUAUGCAGGGGAGAACGGAAUUCCUGGUGUAGCGGUGAAAUGCGCAGAUAUCAGGAGGAACACCGGUGGCGAAGGCGGUUCUCUGGGCAUGAUCUGACGCUGAGGAGCGAAAGCGUGGGGAGCGAACAGG